rnacentral:misc_RNA from 1 species
GUAUAGAUUUUAAAGGCAGUUAAGCCCAUUAAUGACAUUCUAAAACAUGUGUAGGGGUAUAUAUAAAAACAUAAACCGGAAGUGCAAGGAAAGCCGGCUUGCGCACGGCAAUCCUCAAAACCGAGUUUCCUCGAGAGAUAUCCAGGUCUACAAAAGGUGCACAGGUGGUAAAAAGGUUGGUUGUCAGGCGUGCACAUGCUCCGGAGAGCCAGCAACAACCCAACCAAGCUUAUUCAAUAAUGAUCCUUCCGCAGGUUCACCUACGGAAA